CACAAUAAUAAAUAAAAACAUCAUCACGUUUGUGAUUUAAUGGAAAAAAUAACAUUGCACACUUCUGUUUUUUUACAUUUAGUAAAAAUCGGUAAUGUUUUGUGCAUUUAUCCAAUGAAAAAGCCACUAGUGACCUGUGAGGAAGUAGAUG